rnacentral:tRNA from 1 species
AAGGAUUUAAGUUAAGCCAAACUCUCAGCCUUCAAAGCUGGUAAUAAAGAUUUAUUCUUUAAGCCUUA